rnacentral:misc_RNA from 1 species
ACGAGUUGCAUUGGGCACGAGUUAACGAAGACGCAUCAACUGGUCGAAAGAUAAUAUAUGUCCCGUGAAAAAGCCGCUGAUUGCUGUCGCCAUUGUAACGCAUUCUGUGGCAAACGGGACUGACGACACGUGGGACACAUGCAAAUGACAAAACGUUCCAUCAUCAUCUUCGAUACGUCAGCAGUUGGUCCGUGCCGUCAGUCAUUUUUUCAUCCCUGAUGAAUUGGAUCUUCUCCGCGAGUGGAGUAGAAGGAGAAUAAAUGUGUUUAACUUGGGAAGAUCCACUCUGAUGAAAAUUAAUGUCAAAACUUUCACGAGUCGAAUCGAGUCGUGGCAUCGAGAGAGCGAUAUAUCGCGGUCGAUAUAUAUCACUCGGCGAACCACUCGACUUCCAUACGUCCGCUCCGGAGAGCGUACAUAUGUACGCGUGCAUCGCCCGCGGGCUGGCUUCAAGGUCCUCGUUUAGAUAUCCGUUCCCUUCGAGAUUAUUCGAGGCAACGACGACGAAGACGAUGACGA